GCUCCUCUCAGUCUCUCGCACACACUCAGUCAGGGGGAGGGCUCCUCAAUCCUCUCAAUCUCAUCGAGCUCACCUCCGUCCAGCCACCGUCUCGUGCCGCCGCCGUCUUCGUUCCUUCGAACAGCACCGCCUCAUGCUCGCUCACUUCCCCUCCAUCGCGCAGCAGCUAGUUUUCAGAACAUUGGCCCUCACUCACUCACCCCCUUCCCCCAACACCUCCUGUUCAUGAAUCACUAUCUUUGAACUCGAGCAAAGUUCAAAAUCACCCAACCAAAACCCUAGGUUCUCCCCGCAACGGUUCUGAGACAGUGCCGCCGCCGUCCUUGCUGUCGGUGCCUCCGCGUCCUCUCUUGUAGCCCAGGCCCUCUCUUGUAGCUCAGCGUCCUCCUUCCCCAUGUCCCCGUCCUCCCUGGCUUCUCUGUUCGAUGUUGGAGUAGCUCGGCGCCGUCUCGCCGGUAGCCGUUCGUGUCUCCAUCGAAGGAACAAGAAAACUAACUCUUUUUCUACCCCCUGUGGCUUAAGGGAUGACAGUAUAUUGAUGACAGUUACCAUCGCCAGCUUUGUUCCUGACUUCCUGCCUCCGUCGCCAGCUUAGUUGUUGCCUCCUCGCCAGCUCUGUUCUUCACUUGUUAUAG